rnacentral:sRNA from 1 species
GGCGCUGCAUGUGGACGGGUGCGCGCACGUUGAUCAGAUUCAUGGCCAGAUUGAGCGUGAAGCUCAGCGCGAGCAUGGCCAGCAGCUGGCGCGAUGUCCGCAGGACACGCCACCCCUCCCG